rnacentral:rRNA from 1 species
AUUGAACGCUGGCGGCAGGCCUAACACAUGCAAGUCGAACGAGUGGCGGACGGGUGAGUAAUGUCUGGGAAACUGCCCGAUGGAGGGGGAUAACUACUGGAAACGGUAGCUAAUACCGCAUACCAUCGGAUGUGCCCAGAUGGGAUUAGCUAGUAGGUGGGGUAAAGGCUCACCUAGGCGACGAUCCCUAGCUGGUCUGAGAGGAUGACCAGCCACACGGGAACUGAGACACGGUCCAGACUCCUACGGGAGGCAGCAGUGGGGAAUAUUGCACAAUGGGCGCAAGCCGUAUGCAGCCAUGCCGCGUGUAUGAAGAAGGCCUUCGGGUUGUAAAGUACUUUCAGCGGGGAGGCGUUACCCGCAGAAGAAGCACCGGCUAACUCCGUGCCAGCAGCCGCGGUAAUUC